rnacentral:rRNA from 1 species
GAUGAACGCUGGCGGCGUGCCUAAUACAUGCAAGUCGAGCGAACGGACGAGAAGCUUGCUUCUCUGAUGUUAGCGGCGGACGGGUGAGUAACACGUGGAUAACCUACCUAUAAGACUGGGAUAACUUCGGGAAACCGGAGCUAAUACCGGAUAAUAUUUUGAACCGCAUGGUUCAAAAGUGAAAGACGGUCUUGCUGUCACUUAUAGAUGGAUCCGCGCUGCAUUAGCUAGUUGGUAAGGUAACGGCUUACCAAGGCAACGAUGCAUAGCCGACCUGAGAGGGUGAUCGGCCACACUGGAACUGAGACACGGUCCAGACUCCUACGGGAGGCAGCAGUAGGGAAUCUUCCGCAAUGGGCGAAAGCCUGACGGAGCAACGCCGCGUGAGUGAUGAAGGUCUUCGGAUCGUAAAACUCUGUUAUUAGGGAAGAACAUAUGUGUAAGUAACUGUGCACAUCUUGACGGUACCUAAUCAGAAAGCCACGGCUAACUACGUGCCAGCAGCCGCGGUAAUACGUAGGUGGCAAGCGUUAUCCGGAAUUAUUGGGCGUAAAGCGCGCGUAGGCGGUUUUUUAAGUCUGAUGUGAAAGCCCACGGCUCAACCGUGGAGGGUCAUUGGAAACUGGAAAACUUGAGUGCAGAAGAGGAAAGUGGAAUUCCAUGUGUAGCGGUGAAAUGCGCAGAGAUAUGGAGGAACACCAGUGGCGAAGGCGACUUUCUGGUCUGUAACUGACGCUGAUGUGCGAAAGCGUGGGGAUCAAACAGGAUUAGAUACCCUGGUAGUCCACGCCGUAAACGAUGAGUGCUAAGUGUUAGGGGGUUUCCGCCCCUUAGUGCUGCAGCUAACGCAUUAAGCACUCCGCCUGGGGAGUACGACCGCAAGGUUGAAACUCAAAGGAAUUGACGGGGACCCGCACAAGCAGUGGAGCAUGUGGUUUAAUUCGAAGCAACGCGAAGAACCUUACCAAAUCUUGACAUCCUUCGACAACUCUAGAGAUAGAGCCUUCCCCUUCGGGGGACAAAGUGACAGGUGGUGCAUGGUUGUCGUCAGCUCGUGUCGUGAGAUGUUGGGUUAAGUCCCGCAACGAGCGCAACCCUUAAGCUUAGUUGCCAUCAUUAAGUUGGGCACUCUAAGUUGACUGCCGGUGACAAACCGGAGGAAGGUGGGGAUGACGUCAAAUCAUCAUGCCCCUUAUGAUUUGGGCUACACACGUGCUACAAUGGACAAUACAAAGGGCAGCGAAACCGCGAGGUCAAGCAAAUCCCAUAAAGUUGUUCUCAGUUCGGAUUGUAGUCUGCAACUCGACUACAUGAAGCUGGAAUCGCUAGUAAUCGUAGAUCAGCAUGCUACGGUGAAUACGUUCCCGGGUCU